UGGGGAAUUUUGGACAAUGGGGGCAACCCUGAUCCAGCAAUGCCGCGUGAGUGAAGAAGGCCUUCGGGUUGUAAAGCUCUUUUGUCAGGGAAGAAACGGUAGUAGCGAAUAACUAUUACUAAUGACGGUACCUGAAGAAUAAGCACCGGCUAACUACGUGCCAGCAGCCGCGGUAAUACGUAGGGUGCAAGCGUUAAUCGGAAUUACUGGGCGUAAAGCGUGCGCAGGCGGUUGUGUAAGUCAGAUGUGAAAUCCCCGGGCUCAACCUGGGAAUUGCAUUUGAGACUGCACGGCUAGAGUGUGUCAGAGGGGGGUAGAAUUCCACGUGUAGCAGUGAAAUGCGUAGAUAUGUGGAGGAAUACCGAUGGCGAAGGCAGCCCCCUGGGAUAACACUGACGCUCAUGCACGAAAGCGUGGGGAGCAAACAGGAUUAGAUACCCUGGUAGUCCCUGAGCGGGCUGGCAAGGCGCAU
rnacentral:rRNA from 1 species